UCAUCGAUGGGGAUGCGUUCCAUUAGCUUGUUGGCGGGGUAACGGCCCACCAAGGCAUCGAUGGAUAGGGGUUCUGAGAGGAAGGUCCCCCACAUUGGAACUGAGACACGGUCCAAACUCCUACGGGAGGCAGCAGUGAGGAAUAUUGGUCAAUGGGCGCUAGCCUGAACCAGCCAAGUAGCGUGAAGGAUGACUGCCCUAUGGGUUGUAAACUUCUUUUAUAUGGGAAUAAAGUGCAGUAUGUAUACUGCUUUGCAUGUACCUUAUGAAUAAGGAUCGGCUAACUCCGUGCCAGCAGCCGCGGUAAUACGGAGGAUCCGAGCGUUAUCCGGAUUUAUUGGGUUUAAAGGGAGCGUAGGCGGGUUGUUAAGUCAGUUGUGAAAGUUUGCGGCUCAACCGUAAAAUUGCAGUUGAUACUGGCAUCCUUGAGUACAGUAGAGGUAGGCGGAAUUCGUGGUGUAGCGGUGAAAUGCUUAGAUAUCACGAAGAACUCCGAUUGCGAAGGCAGCCUGCUGGACUGUAACUGACGCUGAUGCUCGAAAGUGUGGGUAUCAAGCAGGAUUAGAUACCCUGGUAGUCCACACAGUAAACGAUGAAUACUCGCUGUUUGCGAUAUACAGUAA
rnacentral:rRNA from 1 species